UACAGAGGUCUCAAGCGUUGUUCGGAUUCAUUGGGCGUAAAGGGUGCGUAGGUGGCGUGGUAAGUCGGGUGUGAAAUUUCGGAGCUUAACUCCGAAACUGCAUUCGAUACUGCCGUGCUUGAGGACUGGAGAGGAGACUGGAAUUUACGGUGUAGCAGUGAAAUGCGUAGAUAUCGUAAGGAAGACCAGUGGCGAAGGCGAGUCUCUGGACAGUUACUGACACUGAGGCACGAAGGCCAGGGGAGCAAACGGG
rnacentral:rRNA from 1 species